UGUUACUCUUUUCCCAGGCUUCUUAAGCAUGAUUAGCAUGAUUGUGUUUCACAAAUGUCUGUAUUUAGCCAGUUCUUGUUUUUCUUUUAAUGCAGCUACAAGGCCACAGGCUAGGUCACAAGUUAAUGUUAUGCUAUAGAUUAUGUGACCUAUUACUGUAUGAUUAACUGCUUUUAUUUUGCUUCUGUAAGGUCACUUAUAAAAACCCAACUCUGUCUUCGUUCAGGGUUCAGCUUUUGGAUGUGAAUUCUCUGAGCCAGUGUGUUCCUAAAAUAAACAAAUCCUCCUGUACUCCAUAUUGGUCUCUCCGUUCCUCAGUUUACCGCAACAUUUUUGGUGACCACGAAGGGACUGGAGACAGCAGGCUUACUGUCUCCUUUGCCUCUGGGGGCUGGAGCACGGGCCUCGGGAAACCUGUGACCCCAGGCACCGCCGGGAGAACUUCAGCCCAGAGGGAAGAUCAGCUCUGCCCUGACCCGGUGCCCCUACCCAGCAGCGCCACGGAACCUAAAGAGAGGCUACACAAUAAUUUCAAAAGCAGCAUGCUUCAGGAACUGCAGUAGGUUUUGGAGGCCCAAGGUAGGACCCAUCCCCUGGACAAAAGGGGAGCCUGAUCACCUCCUGGGGUGCUGAAUAGUUCGACCCACAGGGGCUGGGAGCGACUAGAGUGGCUCGUCAAUUCGGAUGAAACUCACACCCACCGCACUGACACAGGAUGCAAGAGUGGAUUCCUCGCCUAUCCCCCCUUUCACCAAGACCAACAGCCCUCCAGGAACCAGAUUCAGGAGCUAACACCCCCCAGAUCUCACCUCAAAAGGGAGGAUCAGAGCCUCGAGAGGUUAGGAAAAGAAGUCAAGAGACUCAAGCGGGCCGUCUUAGAUCUAGCCGCACUCGAGCUACGCAAAUGCCUCUGAGGGAGAUGCGAAGACUUAUCUAUGAUGAUGACCAGGAUCCCAACUGGGACCCGGAGGAUGCAACUCAGCUUCAGCAUUGCAGAGGUACCAAGAGGCACUUCAGUAGGAGCUAAGAGUUGGUAGAAGGAAAGCAAUUAAUAUAAGGAAGAUUUCAGAAGUGCUUCAGGGAGCUGAGCAGAGCCUAAGUCAGUUGUAUGAGAUACUCUGUGAAGCAUUCUGGCUUUACACCCCAUUUAACUCUGGGGCUGCUGAACAUCAGCACAUGGCGAAUACUUCAUUUGUAGGGCAAGCCCAGGGUGACAUCAAGCAGAAGUUGCAGGCAUGAAUACCAGUCUAUAAAAGUGGCCACAAAGGUGGAUGUUAACUGUGACCAGGGAACAAAACAGGAAAGAGCAAAAGCAACAAGAGCAGCAGCUAGGCAUGCCAAGGGUUAAGUCCCUCUCCCCAGUCCAUCUCUAUCUGGAAAAAGAGGGGGCCAGGGACUGAUGCCAGAAGAAGAGCAAAGAAGAAGGAAAGGAGAAAGUAAGAGUACAUGUGAGAAAGGAAAGAAGAAAGUAAAAAGGAAAUCAGAAAGAAACAGGAGAGAGAGAUGGCAGUGCUCAGGGGCAGGGCCCAUGCCAUUGCCCAGCCCUGCUGGCUGGCUGCAGGAGCAGGAGAACUCAGGAAGCAAAAAGGAAAGUAAAUCGAAGGCUUAAGAAAAAGGUCAAUCUGUUGGCAACAGCUCUUAUAGAAAGAGAGAUUAGCAAUGUGAGAGAACACAGCGGACACAGACGUAGAUGUGGAAGAAUUCAAGUUAGGCAAGGAUUCAAGAGCUGGACAAGUCUAGAAAGAGAUUAAUGUGUGAGAUGCAAAAAGAAAGGACACAGGAAGGAUGAAUGUUCAGAAGGCAAUGGCCAAGGCUGCAAGACAAAGAGGCCAUCGGCCAAGGGCUGCCGCACCUUGGAGGAACCAAAUACUGAUCUGAUCAGGCUGGCAGGAGCUGAAGAAUGUAAGGACUUGGGUAGACUGGGCACCUUCUCAUUAGGCUUCCAGGAGCCCAUGGUCACAUUAGAAGUUAAAGGCAGCAGGAUUCUGACAUAUCUGGAUUGCAAUUUCUCACUGAUGGCUAAGUCACUAGAUGGAGUUACAAAGGGAGGAGAAAAAGAACCCUUCCUCUGGGAAACUGAACAGGAGAAGGAGCCAUGCCUUGUGAAAACUUGUUUAUAGACUUUACAGAACUUCCCUGUGCCGGCUAUCAGUACCUGCUAGUGCUUGAUUGCACCUUUUCAGGGUAGGUUGAAGCUUUCCCUAUCGGGACAGAAAAAGUAUGAGAAGCGACUGAAGUACUGUUAAAAGACAUUAUCCCCAGGUUUGGACUGCCUCUAACUUUACAGUCAGACAAUAGGCCAGCAUUUGUAGCUGAAAUAGUGCAAAAUUUAACAAGACUGUUAAAAAUAAAAUGAAAGUUACAUACAGUCUGUCAGCCGCAAAGUUCAGGAAAACGUCAAACGCAUGAACCAGACACUCAAGCAGCUACUGAAGAAAUAUUGCCAGGAAAUUCAUUAGAGAUAGAAUCAGGUUUUUGCCUAUGGUCCUCCUCCGAGUCAGGUGCACCCCCACCAAACAAACUGGGUAUUUGCCCUAUAAGAUUGUGUUCAGUCAGCCACCCCCAAAUCAUAGGUCGAAUUAAAGGUGACCUCCAGGAACUAGGGGAAUUAACCUUAAGAAAGCAAAUGCAGGCUUUAGGAAUAGCUAUACAAAGUGUUCAUAAUUAGGUACAUGAAAAUGCCUAUAAGCCUCACACCCCUUUAAAUCUGGUGACUCUGUUUAGGUUAAAAAGUAGAAUCUAAUUUCUCCAGGAUCCAUAUAGGGUGAGCCCUAUAUUGUAACCUUGUCCACUCCCACUGCUGUUAAAGUUGCAGGUGUUGUGUCUUGGAUCCACCACAGUCAGCUAAAACCAGCAGCUCAGGACAAGUGAACCAGCUAGCAGAACCCAGAUCAGCCAAUCCAGCUGAUCCCAAGAUGAGACCAAGUUGUUGCUGAGGGUGAUAGCCCUGCUCUGGUCACUCCGGAGGCUGACUAGUCUAUACACAACUGAAACUUGAGGAAACAACAAGCCCUGCUCUAGUCACAUACCAGAAGCUGACUAGUCUAUGCACGGCCAAAGCUUAAGGACUCAUCAAGCAAGUAAUAUAGUUAGAAAUCUUAGGACUAGUGGUUUUCCUGUAUAUUAACUGUUUUAUUAUUGUUUUGUCAUUAUGCUCAACCCUUUUCCCAGAUAAGGACCUCUUUUGUCCUUGCUGGAUAUGAAUAUAGUGUACAUUGUUUUAUUGUUGUUACCACCCUUAACCAUGCUAGAAGGAACACCUAUAGAGGGGUAUCUCCACUGUACACAUACUACUUGGUCAAGGAACAGGAUAACUAGAACCCUAUUGUACUAUACUUAUUAUGAGUGUACAAGGAUUCACUUAGGAGCUUGUACUUAUAAUCAGACCACCUAUUCAAUUUGUGACCCAGGAAAUGGCCAGCCUUAUAUAUGCUAUGACCCUAAUUCUCCACCUGGGACUUAGUUUGAGAUUCAUACCAAGUCAAAAGGAGGAAGUCUUAUAAGUCAAACCCAAGCCUCUCUUUCCAGAGGGGGUGCUAUAUCCAUAUACUUUGAUAUUUGUCAGUUAACAUCCAUGAACCCAACCUAUUUCACAAUCUCUGGUCCUACAAGGUACCAUACAAACUGCCAGUACAAAAUUGUAUGUGCACUCCCUGUUUAUUCUUCCAACGCCUGCUUACCAGAACUGCACAACGCAGUUCACUGACACACCAUCACCAAAGCCAAAGCCAAUCUUGCUCAUCAAAGUACCAGCAAAACCAGAUUGUAAGACAAGCACUUGCAAUCCUGUAAAUCUUACCAUCUUAAAGCCAGAUCUACCUAUAUGGACUACAGGUUACUUCUUGGCUUUACAAAGCUACGGUCGAAAAGCUAAAAUAACUUUGUAUAUUCUAAAGAGGACUCGAACCAAGCAGUCAGCCCAGCAACAAUUCCGAGUCUUUAAGUCAUUCUUUGAGCAUAUAAACCAGAAGUUACCAGAGCCUCCUCCUUUAGCCAAAAACCUAUUUGCUCAGCUGCCUGAAAACAUUGCUGGCAGCCUGGGAAUUUCCUCAUGUUAUGUUUGUGGAAGUACUAACAUAGGAGACCAAUGACCUUGGGAAGCAAAAAAGUUAAUGUCUCAAGAUAACUUUACUCUAACUGACUCUUUCCCCAAAUAGAUGCCCACAAGUUAAGCGUCUGGCUCUUAAAAACUUCUAUUAUUAGGAGAUACUGUGUUGCUCACUGGGGAAAGGCUUUUACAGACCCAAUAGGAGAACUAAACUGCUUAGGACAGCAGUAUUAUAAUGAAACAUUAAGGAAAACUUUGUAGCAGGGCAGAGAUGACUACAAAGUACCUCAUCCAAAUCCAUUCUCCUGUUUCUCUUCUCUAAACCACACUUGGUAUCAACUUUAAGCUCCAAAUACUUGGCAAGUACCCCCCAGUCUUUAUUGGAUCUGUGGGCUAUGGGCAUAUAGACAGUUGCCAAUUAAAUGGGCAGGUGCCUGUGUGCUUAGAACAAUUAGACCAUCUUUCUUCCUACUCCCACUGCAACAGAGAAAAACUUUAGGGUAUCCUGUGUAUGAUGAACUUAGAAGAAGAAACAAAAGAGAUGCAGACAUGAAGAGAGAUAUAAAAAUAGGAGAUUAAAAAGACACAGAUGAGCCCCCUGAAAAAAUAAUUCAAUACUAUGGGCCAGCUACCUGGGCACAAGUUGGGUCAUAGGGAUACUGCGCUCCUAUUUACAUGCUUCACCACAUCAUAAGGUUGCAGGCAGUACUUGAAAUCAUCACUAAUGAAACAGCAAAUGCAUUAGAUUUACUGGCCCAGCAAACCACAAAAAUGAGAAAUUGUUAUCUAUCAGAACAGACUACCUCCUAGCCCAGGAAGGAGGAGUAUGUGGAAAGUUCAGUCUCACUAAUUGUUGUCUGGAAAUCAAUGACAAUGGAAAAGCAAUUAUGGAUAUAACUGAAAGAAUGAGAGAAUUAGCCCAUGUUCCAGUUCAAACCUGGAAAAGGUGGUCCCCAGAUUCUCUCUUUGGAGGCCAGUUUUCAUUUUUCAGAAGGUUCAAUACUUUAAUAGGAGUGGUUCUGGCCGUGCUAGGAAGUUGCCUAAUACUCCAUUGUCUCUUACCUCUCCUUGUUAGAAGCAUUCAAUCAACUAUAGAGGCAAUAGUAGCUAGGCAAACUACCUCUCAGCUAAUGGCUCUGUGUAAAUAUCCACCUCUGUCUAAAGAAGAAAACUUGUCUCUUCAGGCAGGACUAAGUAAUAGUGAUGCCUUUUAUUAAACUUCUUUUAUAAAAGGCAUCAAAGGGGGAAAAACUGAGGCAGAAAUUUAAAAUAAUAAUAAUAAGUACUGCAUUUAUUCACUCCAGGAAAAGUAAAAACUAAGGCCCAGAAUGUGGCAAGGCAAAGGUUAAAAAGAAAAGAACAAGUUUUCCUCUGCCUAGCAGCUCACUUCAAGGACAGUUAGAAGAAAAUGCUGUCCGAAUAGCCAAGACCAAAAAAAUAGGCUGCAGACACACUCCUCCCUUCCAGAUUAAGGUUGAAAGAAAAUAAAGAGAAAGACAGGUUCUUUUACUGUUACUCUUUUCCCAGGCUUCUUAAGCAUGAUUAGCAUGAUUGUGUUUCACAGAUGUCUGUAUUUAGCCAGUUCUUGUUUUUCUUUUAAUGCAGCUACAAGGCCACAGGCUAGGUCACAAAUUAUGUUAUGCUAUAGAUUAUGUGACCUAUUACUGUAUGAUUAACUGUUUUUAUUUUGCUUCUGCAAUGCCGCUUAUAAAAACCCAACUCUGUCUUCGUUCAGGGCUCAGCUUUUGGAUGUGAAUCCUCUGAGCUGGAGCGUACCUAAAAUAAACAAAUCCUCCUGUACUCUG